rnacentral:rRNA from 1 species
UGCCGCGUGUGUGAUGAAGGUCUUAGGAUCGUAAAGCACUUUCGCCAGGGAUGAUAAUGACAGUACCUGGUAAAGAAACCCCGGCUAACUCCGUGCCAGCAGCCGCGGUAAUACGGAGGGGGUUAGCGUUGUUCGGAAUUACUGGGCGUAAAGCGCGCGUAGGCGGAUUGGAAAGUUGGGGGUGAAAUCCCGGGGCUCAACCCCGGAACUGCCUCCAAAACUAUCANUCUAGAGUUCGAGAGAGGUGAGUGGAAUUCCAAGUGUAGAGGUGAAAUUCGUAGAUAUUUGGAGGAACACCAGUGGCGAAGGCGGCUCACUGGCUCGAUACUGACGCUGAGGUGCGAAAGUGUGGGGAGCAAACAGGAUUAGAUACCCUGGUAGUCCACACCGUAAACGAUGAAUGCCAGUCGUCGGGCAGUAUACUGUUCGGUGACACACCUAACGGAUUAAGCAUUCCGCCUGGGGAGUACGGUCGCAAGAUUAAAAC